GCACUGCUGAGGAGUCCCAAACUGGGAGGAAACCGCCGUCCAGUGC
rfam:Schistosoma rodhaini strain Burundi genome assembly, scaffold: SROB_contig0002718